GCGCACGCUGGCGGCAGGCCUCACACCUGCCAGUCGAACGAACCUUUCGGGGUUAGUGGCGGACGGGUGAGUAACACGUGGGAACGUGCCUUUAGGUUCGGAAUAACUCAGGGAAACUUGUGCUAAUACCGAAUGUGCCCUUCGGGGGAAAGAUUAAUCGCCUUUAGAGCGGCCCGCGUCUGAUUAGCUAGUUGGUUGAGGUAAUGGCUCACCAAGGCGACGAUCAGUAGCUGGUCUGAGAGGAUGAUCAGCCACAUUGGGACUGAGACACGGCCCAAACUCCUACGGGAGGCAGCAGUGGGGAAUCUUGCGCAAUGGGCGAAAGCCUGACGCAGCCAUGCCGCGUGAAUGAUGAAGGUCUUAGGAUUGUAAAAUUCUUUCACCGGGGACGAUAAUGACGGUACCCGGAGAAGAAGCCCCGGCUAACUUCGUG
rnacentral:rRNA from 1 species